rnacentral:rRNA from 1 species
UGGGAAUAUUGCACAAUGGGCGCAAGCCUGAUGCAGCAACGCCGCGUGCGGGAAGAAGGCCCUAGGGUUGUAAACCGCUUUCAGCAGGGAAGAAAAUGACGGUACCUGCAGAAGAAGGUGCGGCCAACUACGUGCCAGCAGCCGCGGUGACACGUAGGCACCAAGCGUUGUCCGGAUUUAUUGGGCGUAAAGAGCUCGUAGGCGGUUCAGUAAGUCGGGUGUGAAAACUCUGGGCUCAACCCAGAGAGGCCACCCGAUACUGCUGUGACUUGAGUACGGUAGGGGAGCGGGGAAUUCCUGGUGUAGCGGUGAAAUGCGCAGAUAUCAGGAGGAACACCAGUGGCGAAGGCGCCGCUCUGGGCCGUAACUGACGCUGAGGAGCGAAAGCAUGGGUAGCAAAGCAGGAUUAGAUACCCUGGUAGUCCAUGCCGUAAACGUUGGGCACUAGGUGU